UACGGAGGGAGCUAGCGUUGUUCGGAAUUACUGGGCGUAAAGCGCGCGUAGGCGGCUUUGUAAGUUAGAGGUGAAAGCCCGGAGCUCAACUCCGGAACUGCCUUUAAAACUGCAUCGCUUGAAUCCAGGAGAGGUGAGUGGAAUUCCGAGUGUAGAGGUGAAAUUCGUAGAUAUUCGGAAGAACACCAGUGGCGAAGGCGGCUCACUGGACUGGUAUCGACGCUGAGGUGCGAAAGCGUGGGGAGCAAACAGG
rnacentral:rRNA from 1 species